GUCCAAACGGUGAAACUGAGUCAUCAUUACCUAUUUGUAAUGAAAUGUUUUCAUCCUAUAAUAUUUUAUUUCGCCCUGGUAAACAAACAACAACUGACCGAAGUGGCGGUUGUCUCAAACACGCCUGAUUUCAUCCGCCAUUUUAUUUCCACGCAGUUGGUAGGAUGGCAAAAUUAAUUCGUGUCUCGAACCUCGCGAUGAAGGAAAUUAAUAAUUAGAAACGAGUAUUAUCAGUUAUUUUCUGAGUCAGGUAUGUGUUUACAAUUAUAGUAAUCAAUUAUUUGUAGUAUGAAAUAAUUAAUUAAAUACAAUUAUUCUCAUUCUUUUCAGUGAAGCGAAAAUUUUGUACUUGACCCUGAAAUUAAUAUAUCGUUGGAAGAUGACCAGGGACCCGAAAUAGACUUGGAUAAGAAUCAAGAUUUAGGGGCAGAAAAUCCUAACUAUACUAUACUAUUUUAAUUAGUUUGUAACAAAAAGCAGGUUUUAGGUUACUACUUGGAUUCAGGAAUAGUUUUUAUACGACGUAUCAAAAUUUAUUACACGAAUUAAGGGAAACCUAAAUUUAAGGAAUCGUGGAUGGUGGGGAUAUAGGAAUUUUGAAUUUUGCGUGGUUGAGGGGAAGGUGAGACAUAUGUAAAUACAAAUUCAUACCAUAAUGCCUCAACUCCACACAACCGCGUAAAUUUGAAAAAUCCAAGAUUACCAGUAGUCAAUUUAUUUACAUACUAAAUCUAAUUAUUUAUUCGGUUUUAGCUUAUUAGCCAUAGAAAUAUAUCAAUUUUGACUUCAUUAUGAAAAAAUUUAACCAUUUAGGUUAUAAUUUGUUGCCGGGAAAAUUGGGUAUAAUUCAAAAGAAAUACAUUUUCGUUAAUUAUUUCUUGGGCAAAAGUAGCAACUUGGUCAAUAUCAUAAUUAUUUCGCGUAAUAAUCAUCCCCAAUUACCUGCGUAGUGUUUUUUUCAAAAUUUAUAUAAACUACAAAUACUUACAUAAUUCUAUUCAGCAAAUUCCUACAAUGCACCCUGCGUCAUUUCUUUCCGUCAUACAUACAUUUAUUUUUAUGCACUUUGUGAAAAGUGCAAUGUCGGGCCUGGCAAUUAAAUUCAAGUAUGUUUGUCAAUGUCGUUUGCCGUCACGUACCCAAAAAAUUAUAUAAAAGGCAGAACCCAGUCAAAGGUUAUACAACAAUGGAAAUUUUAUUUUUUAUUUGUCUAACUGCACGUCAUAACUUUAAUUUUUGCCAACCCAUUGUCUUCUUCUUUGACUGAAUUGCAUAAAACGAAUUCCAAACACUUGAGAAAUUCACUGGCUUCACACUUACCCUGAACCUUACACACGUUUCGAUCUUGGUUAAAGUAAGUAAUUAUAUUUUUUGUUAAUUUCUACAAAAAAAAAUAAUCAUUUUUUUUUAAACUUCUACAAUCCCAUAUUUCAGAAGGAUUUUUUCCCAUGUCACCCCGGACACACUGGACAGGACUAUUCAGUCUCAUUCUCCUAAUAAUGAUGGCAUCGUCGCCAACCCUGGUCUCCUCGUUAUCUAUUGGAAAUACUGAGUUUUCCUACGAUUUCACUCAGGAGUACAGGAAUGGUGACAGGAAUGGACAAGUAGAAAUCGUUAUCCAUCAUUGAGAACAGGUUUACCCAUUGGUAAUAAACCAACAACUAAUCGGAUUCAGUGUCACAUUUUGCCUCGGCCAAUUCAAGAAACCCGAACAGACGACAACCCAACCCCAAUAGAUGGCGAGAAAUGUGGAAAAUAAAAUCAAAAAGCAAGGAAACGCGCGUCUUUCCAGAAUUGAAAUGCAAUCCACAACUAGUUCCAAUUUUCUUGUCGCGCUAAUUUCAAACGUGUUUGUUGGAUAAAAUCCAUUCUCAGCAUUGGAAGAACGACCAGCGCUUCGUAAUUGGAUGGAAAAGGGGCAUGAUUUAGUUUCCUUUUCGUAC